rnacentral:snoRNA from 1 species
GAUUGUCGAGAAUCUUGACAAACUUAUAGAGUGUAUAUGAGUUUGUUGUAAAGGCCGACAUAAAUCAUCAUGGAUUUUCUUUACUGCCAUUUUUUAAAUAGUGCUUAUAUAGUGGUUAAAGGUAAUCCAAUAUU